GGGGGAUAGCCCGAUGAAAGUUGGAUUAAUACCGCAUAUAGCUAUAUAGUUGCAUGAUUAUGUAGUGAAAGAUUUAUUGGUAUAGGAGGAGUCUGCGGCACAUUAGCUAGUAGGUGAGGUAAAGGCUUACCUAGGCGACGAUGUGUAGCCGGUCUGAGAGGAUGAACGGCCACAAUGGAACUGAGACACGGUCCAUACUCCUACGGGAGGCAGCAGUGGAGAAUAUUGCACAAUGGGGGAAACCCUGAUGCAGCAACGCCGCGUGAGUGAAGAAGGUUUUCGGAUUGUAAAGCUCUGUUAGCAGGGAAGAGGAAGGACGGUACCUGCAGAGGAAGCCACGGCUAACUACGUGCCAGCAGCCGCGGUAAUACGUAGGUGGCAAGCGUUGUUCGGAAUAACUGGGCGUAAAGGAUGCGUAGGCGGUUAAACAAGUUAUAUGUUAAAUAUAUAGGCUUAACCUGUAGAAAGCAUAUAAAACUGUUUAACUAGAGUGCAGGAGAGGUAAGUGGAAUUCCUAGUGUAGCGGUGAAAUGCGUAGAGAUUAGGAAGAACACCAGUGGCGAAGGCGACUUACUGGACUGUAACUGACGCUGAGGCAUGAGAGCAUGGGGAGCAAACAGGAUUAGAUACCCUGGUAGUCCACGCUGUAAAC
rnacentral:rRNA from 1 species